CAGUCGCCACGGUAAUACGUAGGUGGCAAGCGCUGUCCGGAAUUAUUGGGCGUAAAGGGCUCGCAGGCGGUUUCUUAAGUCUGAUGUGAAAGCCCCCGGCUCAACCGGGGAGGGUCAUUGGAAACUGGGAAACUUGAGUGCAGAAGAGGAGAGUGGAACUCCACGUGUAGCGGUGAAAUGCGUAGAGAUGUGGAGGAACACCAGUGGCGAAGGCGACUCUCUGGUCUGUAACUGACGCUGAGGAGCGAAAGCGUGGAGAGCGAACAGGAUUAGAUACCCCAGUAGUCCCUGUCUCUUAUAC
rnacentral:rRNA from 1 species